GCCCGGCGUAUUCGUAUAAACAACUUCGUCACAUUCAGAUCUCAAAGUGAGAACACCUUUAAAAAGUUUGUUUUUUUAAAUCCUCCCACACAUAUGUGUCAAUUUGAACGCUGUUAAACAACAACAAAAUGUAGACAGCGAGGCUGUCAAGUGCGGAGUGCAACCAGCACCCUCUGGGUCUUGGACAAUCCAUAUGAAUCUCACCUGGAUUUGCAGCAACUCUUUUCUUAAAUGAAUUGAAAAAGGCCAACAACAAUAGAGGUGUAAAGUAUGAUCGUCAUUUAUCAACUUUAAAAGCAAAAGAUCAAAGAAAAAAGAACAAGACUAAAGCAGAUUGGAAAAAAAACAGCAGACUCGUGAUUUAUCACGAAUCGACUCCCUUUUUUUUCAAAAAAAAAAAAAGAAAAAAAAAAUGGGUGAAAAAAAUUAAAAUUCCAUCUACCUUUUGGGGUGCCGUUAUUGUUAAAACACCGUCCGAGGAAAGGUAUGAGGUGA